rnacentral:rRNA from 1 species
ACGCAACGCGAAGAACUUACCUAAGGCUUGACAUCUACAGAAGUCCUUAAGAGAUUAGGAGUGCCCUUCGGGAACUGUAAGACAGGUGGUGCAUGGUUGUCGUCAGCUCGUGUUGUGAAAUGUUGGGUUAAGUCCCGCAACGAGCCGCAACCCUUAUCCUUUGUUGCCAGCGAGUAAUGUCGGGAACUCAAAGGAGACUGCCGGUGAUAAACCGGAGGAAGGUGGGAUGACGUCAAGUCAUCAUGGCCCUUACGAGUAGGGCUACACACGUGCUACAAUGGCAUAUACAAAGAGAAGCGAACUCGCGAGAGCAAGCGGACCUCAUAAAGUAUGUCGUAGUCCGGAUUGGAGUCUGCAACUCGACUCCAUGAAGUCGGAAUCGCUAGUAAUCGUAGAUCAGAAUGCUACGGUGAAUACGUUCCCGGGCCUU